rnacentral:rRNA from 1 species
AGUCGUAACAAGGUUUCCGUAGGUGAACCUGCGGAAGGAUCAUUGUCGAAUCCUGCGAAGCAGACGACCCGAGAACAUGUUUAACGCACGGGUGUCCGGGACGAGGGAAACCACAUACCGGCGCCCCAAGCGCGGCGUCGAUCAUAGGUCGCUCGUCGUGCACACAAACAACCCCGGGCGCAUAAAAGCGCCAAGGAAAACAAGCAAGGUAUGUCUGCCCCUCAAUGCUCCGUUCGCGGAGUGCAUGUGAGGGAAACAGGCACCUAGAGAAAAUAAACGACUCUCGGCAACGGAUAUCUCGGCUCUCGCAUCGAUGAAGAACGUAGCGAACUGCGAUACUUGGUGUGAAUUGCAGAAUCCCGUGAACCAUCGAGUCUUUGAACGCAAGUUGCGCCCGAAGCCAUUAGGCCGAGGGCACGUCUGCCUGGGCGUCACGCAUCGCGUCGCCCCCCGACCAAGUGUGUUAACUCAUACGUGUGAUGCGAGGGGGCGGAAACUGGCUUCCUGUGCUUGACCGCGGCUGGCCUAAAUAUGAGUCCCUUGCGAUGGACGCGACGACAAGUGGUGGUUGAUAGUAUCAACUAAGGCGCUGUCGCCCGACGCCCGUCGAAUGAGGAGAUUCCUUGACCCUGAUGCACGCGUCAAUACGCUGCUACGACCGCGACCCC